GCCUCUUUAGCUUAGGGGUAGAGCGUUGCACUUGUAUAGUUUAUUCGAGAUGCAAAGGUCAGCGGUUCAAUUCCGCUAGGAGGCA